rnacentral:rRNA from 1 species
ACCGGCGCACGGGUGCGUAACGCGUAUGCAAUCUACCUUUUGCUAAGGGAUAGCCCAGAGAAAUUUGGAUUAAUACCUUAUAGUAUGAUGACUUGGCAUCAAGAUAUCAUUAAAGGUUACGGCAAAAGAUGAGCAUGCGUUCUAUUAGCUAGUUGGUGUGGUAACGGCAUACCAAGGCAACGAUAGAUAGGGGUCCUGAGAGGGAGAUCCCCCACACUGGUACUGAGACACGGACCAGACUCCUACGGGAGGCAGCAGUGAGGAAUAUUGGACAAUGGAGGCAACUCUGAUCCAGCCAUGCCGCGUGCAGGAAGACUGCCCUAUGGGUUGUAAACUGCUUUUAUACAGGAAGAAACACCUCUACGUGUAGAGAUUUGACGGUACUGUAAGAAUAAGGAUCGGCUAACUCCGUGCCAGCAGCCGCGGUAAUACGGAGGAUCCAAGCGUUAUCCGGAAUCAUUGGGUUUAAAGGGUCCGUAGGUGGAUAAUUAAGUCAGAGGUGAAAUCCUGCAGCUUAACUGUAGAAUUGCCUUUGAUACUGGUUGU